rnacentral:tRNA from 1 species
GGGUCGUUAGCUCAGUUGGUAGAGCAGUUGACUUUUCUGCGAACCAAUCAAUUGGUCGCAGGUUCGAAUCCUGCACGACCCACCA